rnacentral:rRNA from 1 species
GAUGAACGCUGGCGGCGUGCCUAAUACAUGCAAGUCGAGCGAACAGACGAGGAGCCUGCUCCUCUGACGUUAGCGGCGGACGGGUGAGUAACACGUGGAUAACCUACCUAUAAGACUGGGAUAACUUCGGGAAACCGGAGCUAAUACCGGAUAAUAUAUUGAACCGCAUGGUUCAAUAGUGAAAGACGGUUUUGCUGUCACUUAUAGAUGGAUCCGCGCCGCAUUAGCUAGUUGGUAAGGUAACGGCUUACCAAGGCAACGAUGCGUAGCCGACCUGAGAGGGUGAUCGGCCACACUGGAACUGAGACACGGUCCAGACUCCUACGGGAGGCAGCAGUAGGGAAUAUUCCGCAAUGGGCGAAAGCUUGACGGAGCAACGCCGCGUGAGUGAUGAAGGUCUUCGGAUCGUAAAACUCUGUUAUUAGGGAAGAACAAAUGUGUAAGUAACUAUGCACGUCUUGACGGUACCUAAUCAGAAAGCCACGGCUAACUACGUG